rnacentral:rRNA from 1 species
AAGGUUAACCGAAUAGGGGAGCCGGAGGGAAACCGAGUCUUAAUUGGGCGUUAAGUUGCAGGGUAUAGACCCGAAACCCGGUGAUCUAGCCAUGGGCAGGUUGAAGGUUGGGUAACACUAACUGGAGGACCGAACCGACUAAUGUUGAAAAAUUAGCGGAUGACCUGUGGCUGGGGGUGAAAGGCCAAUCAAACCGGGAGAUAGCUGGUUCUCCCCGAAAGCUAUUUAGGUAGCGCCUCGUGAAUUCAUCUCCGGGGGUAGAGCACUGUUUCGGCUAGGGGGCCAUCCCGGCUUACCAACCCGAUGCAAACUGCGAAUACCGGAGAAUGUUAUCACGGGAGACACACGGCGGGUGCUAACGUCCGUCGUGAAGAGGGAAACAACCCAGACCGCCAGCUAAGGUCCCAAAGUCAUGGUUAAGUGGGAAACGAUGUGGGAAGGCCCAGACAGCCAGGAUGUUGGCUUAGAAGCAGCCAUCAUUUAAAGAAAGCGUAAUAGCUCACUGGUCGAGUCGGCCUGCGCGGAAGAUGUAACGGGGCUAAACCAUGCACCGAAGCUGCGGCAGCGACACUGUGUGUUGUUGGGUAGGGGAGCGUUCUGUAAGCCUGUGAAGGUGUGUCGUGAGGCAUGCUGGAGGUAUCAGAAGUGCGAAUGCUGACAUAAGUAACGAUAAAGCGGGUGAAAAGCCCGCUCGCCGGAAGACCAAGGGUUCCUGUCCAACGUUAAUCGGGGCAGGGUGAGUCGACCCCUAAGGCGAGGCCGAAAGGCGUAGUCGAUGGGAAACGGGUUAAUAUUCCCGUACUUGGUGUUACUGCGAAGGGGGGACGGAGAAGGCUAUGUUGGCCGGGCGACGGUUGUCCCGGUUUAAGCGUGUAGGUGUGUGUUCCAGGUAAAUCCGGUUCACUUUAACACUGAGGCGUGACGACGAGGCACUACGGUGCUGAAGCAACAAAUGCCCUGCUUCCAGGAAAAGCCUCUAAGCAUCAGGUAACAUCAAAUCGUACCCCAAACCGACACAGGUGGUCAGGUAGAGAAUACCAAGGCGCUUGAGAGAACUCGGGUGAAGGAACUAGGCAAAAUGGUGCCGUAACUUCGGGAGAAGGCACGCUGACACGUAGGUGAAGUGAUUUACUCAUGGAGCUGAAGUCAGUCGAAGAUACCAGCUGGCUGCAACUGUUUAUUAAAAACACAGCACUGUGCAAACACGAAAGUGGACGUAUACGGUGUGACGCCUGCCCGGUGCCGGAAGGUUAAUUGAUGGGGUCAGCGCAAGCGAAGCUCCUGAUCGAAGCCCCGGUAAACGGCGGCCGUAACUAUAACGGUCCUAAGGUAGCGAAAUUCCUUGUCGGGUAAGUUCCGACCUGCACGAAUGGCGUAAUGAUGGCCAGGCUGUCUCCACCCGAGACUCAGUGAAAUUGAACUCGCUGUGAAGAUGCAGUGUACCCGCGGCAAGACGGAAAGACCCCGUGAACCUUUACUAUAGCUUGACACUGAACAUUGAGCCUUGAUGUGUAGGAUAGGUGGGAGGCUUUGAAGCGUGGACGCCAGUCUGCGUGGAGCCG